GCAGCCGCGGUAAUACGUAGGGGGCGAGCGUUGUCCGGAAUGACUGGGCGUAAAGGGCGUGUAGGCGGUUUUUUAAGUCUGGAGUGAAAGUCCUGCAUUCAAUGUGGGAAUUGCUUUGGAUACUGGAAGACUUGAGUGCGGAAGAGGUAAGUGGAAUUCCCAGUGUAGCGGUGAAAUGCGUAGAGAUUGGGAGGAACACCAGUGGCGAAGGCGACUUACUGGGCCGUAACUGACGCUGAGGCGCGAAAGCGUGGGGAGCGAACAGGAUUAGAUACCCC
rnacentral:rRNA from 1 species